AUUUUCAUCAUUAUGUUUUUAUUUUAUUUCUUAAAGAUCAUCCAUGGAACUCUUUGCGCUCACAAUGUGUUACUAGCUGAUAAAAAGCAAUGCAAGCUAUCAGAUUAUGGACUAUCUUCAUCACUGUUAAGCGGCAGAGGUAAACCAACAAGAUGGAGUUCGCCUGAAACCAUGGAUACUGGUGACCAAUCAACAGAAGAUGAUAUCUGGUCUUUUGGUAUCGUCUUGUGGGAAAUUGUGACAUUAGGUGCGAGGCCAUACCCUAAAAUGACCUUUGAAACUGUCCAAAAGGAGGUUGCCAAUGGAUACC